ACAUGCUCUGAGCUCUCUACCAGCUCCAAGGGCUGGUGCCCUGUGACCCCACUGGGCAGGGACCCAGAUUCUAAAAUGCUCAUUCCUAGGGCAUCUGGAACAUAGAAUUCCGAAUGCAGAGUCCUCAGUCACCUGGCUUCAGUCUUUCCUCUUAAGUCACGUGGUUCUCCCUCGUCUGUUCGGUCAAGGGCAGGCUGAGUCCAUGGGAACCAUGGUGGUUCAGAGUGGGUGUGUGAUGCUCUAUCAGGGUUUCCAUUAAAACCAGGGGGAAAAGCCCAGCUGAGAUGUGUAGAGAGGUCACGGGGAAGACACUUCAGUGGCUCAUGGCUUUGGAAAGGUCAAGAAUAUCUGGCUUUAGUCCAGGAUGACCUUGGGUUCCAGUGAGGUGGCCGUGGCCGUGACCGUGUUCCUCUGCUCCCUGUGCUUCUUCUGCCUCCUUAGUGUUGGUCUCGUGGUCAGUCGGACUCUCCCCUCUUGGUCACCACAUGGUGCCAGCAGCUCGCACAUCCCUUGGGGGCGUCCCUAGCCUGGCUGCCUUGAUGAAAGCGAGGGGAGUGGGAUGAUGCCAGGGCUAGGGUGGGCUGCAAGGGAAGCCCUGGGGCUAAGAGUCUAGGGUGGGCUGCCCGGGAAGCCCUCGGCUAAGCGUCUGGAAUGGAGACCUGUCCUGGAUGGCAGCUAGGACAAGGUCAGAGACUGAGCUGAUGCCCCCAAACAAGAGUAUCCCUCCUCUAUGCCAAAGGCCAGUGCACCAACCCCGUAAGACAGGGAAGCAGGCCUCUGUGAUGGCGACACUUGAGUGUCGCAGGGGAAUCACAUUCACUGCUUCUGUUUCCUUCCCUUUAAAAGGUGAAUCAUAAGAAGCUGCUCAGUUAUCCGUGUGGAUGAACCGCCCUGACUUUGGAUUGUCCUUGUGUUCAGAAUGGGUGGGUCUCUGCUACUGCAGCCAUCAGCGGCAAAGGUCACAGAGGUGUAUUUUUGCUCAGCGUACUUGAGGGAGAUGAAACCAUCCUGCCACAUCUGUGCUUAAGAACUGCGUCCACCUUGCCCCUCUGCAGAGAGGAAGUUGCAAAAGAGUCAGGGACUCCUCCUGCUUCAGCCAGCUUUGAUCCUCACUUGUCACACAUUCUUAGGGCUCUCCUUAACCCUAGGACAGGAGAGCCCCUGUUUUGUCUUUCUUCUGCCUCUUCCUAAGUCUACCUACCGUCUUAUCCAGGCUUUCGUUUUGCUUUUUGGUUUUUAGGGCUGCUCCCACGGCAUAUGGAGGUUCCUAGGCUAGGGGUCGAAUCGGAACUGUAGCCACCAGCCUACGUCACAGCCACAGCAACUCGGGAUCUGAGCCACGUCUGCGACCAACACCACAGCUCAUGGCAACGCCAGAUCCUUAACCCACUGAGCAGGGCCAGGGAUCGAACCCACAUCCUCAGGGUUACUCGUCGGGUUCGUUACCGCUGAGCCACAACAGGAACUCCCUUCUCUGGGUUUUCAAAGAUUAUCUCCUGCUGGGUCUCAGCUCAGUGUUACCUUGGUCCCGUGGUCAUGCCCUGAACCACCUCUGGUGGUAGACACUGCCUGAGUGGAGUCAGGCACUUGGAAAAUGGGUAGAUGAUAUUUCCCCUGGGUCUCCUCAUGUGGACUCCUCAGCCAGGGAUGACAAAGGUUCCCCCAAUUCGGGGACUUCCAUUUCGUGAUCAGAAGAAAAGACGGAUUUGACCCUCAACAUGGGUGAGGCUCUGGGGCAGUCCAGUGUGUCCUGCGAUGUUUUAGAUCUCUGUUUGUCAAAGGGAAUUUACUGUGGGCUCCCUUACAGCCCUGCCCACUCCACCAGGGCACCAGGAACCAGUCUUCACACAAAGCAGUUACCCUCGGAGGAUUUCUUUCUAAUUAAAAUUUUACAUAUACGCCAUAAACAAGGGCACGUUUGAAAUGUAAAUUUGUCAUUUUCGUAGGCAACUUAAAUCAGCUCCACCUACCUUGAGACUGGUUUCUCCUUCAACACAAAGCUGAAUGUUCCCAGUUUCCCUUUAGUCUUGUACAGCUCACACUCCCUGUAUACCUAGAUCCUGGUGUGGGUUGUUGUUGGGUUUUUUUUUUUCCCCCCUUCCUUGAACACUUUCUGCAGUUUAGUUAUUUGUUGUAAUUAUCAAGUUCAUUUUUCUCUAAUAGAUGUGAUUAAGUAUAUUUAGCACUGCGUAAUGAGUUUUCUGCCUGGUUGCAUCUUAGCUAAUAAGGAAUUCCUUAGCGGCGUCUCUGACAGCUGCUGCGAAUCCCAGGUCUGUGCGGCCACAAGAGACCCCCUUCCAUGAACUGCUAGCAUUAGAGAAAUUAACUCCAUUACACUCACCAUAAAAUUGAGGCUGAAAUUUGAUUACUGAGAGACCCUCCGUUCCACUAGAAACUGUAGAACCGGGGUGGUGCCAUGGGGAGGAAGGUGAGUGAGUGUGAAACGCCGGUAGCCACUUUUCCAUCAGUGCCUGUGUUCAGAUAUUUCCAGCUGUACUUCCCAUUUCUUUCCUGAGCAGAACCAGAGCACAGUGCCAAGCUGAUGGGUUUAUAACUCUGCGCUUUGGUGAUAGGGGUGGCCGGAAGUCUGUGUUACUGCCGUGAGGUUGGUACCUCGUUUUUCAGUGCUUCUGCCUUCACUGAGCCAAGAAACCUCUGGGUGUGUUUGUGGCCAUUGAAACUCCUUGCCAUUGUCACAGAUGGUCCAGGUUUGUAAGGCUAAAGUGCUGAGGACAAUUAGUAAUUGGUGACUGGCUGCUAUGAUGUAUAGUUGCUUAGCAACCGUCUCUGAAUUAAGUCCCUGGAAGGGGCAUACAGGAAGAGACAAGACAGGAAGAUGGAAUAGGUACCAUUUCAGUGUGCAGGUGAGAUGGUAAUGAAAAAAGAGGAAAAUACAUUUGUAAUCGUCGAAGUGGCUGAGCGGAGGGAAACGACGGAAGUUAGUUCCUCUCUUGCUAAAUAAAAGAAAAGUAGGUGGCAGUCGAACCAACCCGAUUCACAUGAAAGCUCAUCCUCUUUCUUCAGCACUUGACUCUGAUUCCAAUGCAGGCGGAACUCGGGGAGCGUGAUCUACCCAAAGUGCCGCAUGAAAAUUCAUGGAAGGGAGAGAUGGAGAUUCCGUUUUGCUUGAGUCUUGAGAUCUCUAGGACAAGCCUAAUUUAGCAUUCGUUCCUCCCAGGGAACUGGGAUUAAGGGGGCCGGGGGGUAGGGUCCGGUUUUGAUUCAGCCCUGCUGUGGUACCAGGUGGAAUCCCUACUCUUGUAUGCGGCCGCUCUGUCUUGAUCCAUUUGAAGUCAGGAAGUAUCUCAAGAAGCCAGGAACAGCACCUCCAUUUCAUUAGGGUCCGCUGAGUUUAGAGACUCCGCAGACUAAGCUAUCACCCUGAACUCGGUGAUUUAGUGAGCUGGCUUCGCCACGGGAAGGCCAGAUGAGCCAAAGAAGGUGGAAAAGCAGUAAAAGACCUUGAUCCAGAUACGGAGCCUUGUUAAGGGGCCGCCUUAUCUACACGCAGAGCUGUGUGUGGAGGUCUGCCCGGGUCCGGAACUCAUUACUGCAAGUGAGGACUGUUUUGCAAUUAGUGUUGAAACACCGAGAUAAAGAAAGGAUAUAUAGGAAUUAAAAACAGAUAAUGUAAACACUAACAAAGAGUCUUAAUCCCCUCAGCUGAGUGUUUUGCAUGUUUACCUCUGAUCAGAAUUCUUAAUAAUAUCGAGUGAGUUGCAAUUCAAUAAAGAUUCCCUGGGAAGAAGGAAGUCGAUCCUUGGAUUAAAAAACACACACACACAAAACAAGAAAAACAGAAUCCCCCUUCCCCCCCAAAAUAACUUUCACUCACUUGUCCUUCUAUUACUUGAAAAAUAUAUAUAUAUAUAUUUUUUUUUUUUUAAUUUCAAAUAGUAUGUAGGUGACACAGGAAGGUUUUGCCUCAGUUUAGUUGAGUUCACAUCACUUACAGGCACAGUGCGAUCCCCCAUUAUUUCGUGAUUAGAGGGGCAUCUAUAGGGCUCAGAAAGCAGAUUUUCUUUCUCCACCUGUGACUUGUUUUCUCUCUGAAGAAUGAAGGUGUUUUGAUAUAAAGUUAUUACGGCUCAAUUGAGCAAGUCUUUGCCCUCCUGGCCCGAAGUUCCUCGCCGGAGAGAGGGAGCUGAUAACCAUCUCAGAUUCUUGCCUGCUGCCUAUGAGGGGCUCCCCUGCCCUUACAAUCGAGCACUGUAUUUUCAAGACAAUGUAUAAUUAUUUGGGAAGGAGCCAACAUGAUGGCCAGGGCAUACUAGUAGCAUGGAUGAUAACACAGUCUGUCUCAUGGCCUGUGGCUCCAGCUUAGUAUCUUAAGCUGAGGGUGCCCUGUGCUCCCAUAUCCCCGUUCCUCACUUCCCAUAUGGGACAUGAUUGUUUAACACCCAGCUUCCCUCCUGGAUCGUAAACUCUGCGAGGGCAGGAGCCGUAUACUUUCCAAUAACCAUCCCAUCCCUAGCCCCUAGCACAGGAUCUGUUACAUAGAGGGAACUCACUAAAUGUUGGUUGAAUCCGUUGUUACCGUAGAAUCUAACAGUGGUAGCCGACGUCCAGGAUAGCCCCCCAGUGCUCCUGGUGCUCACAGCGUAUGUGAUCCUCUCCCUUGCAGUGUGGGCUCGACUUGGUGACCUGCUUCUAACCAACAGAAUAAAGGGGAAAACAAGGUCCUAAAAGGCAUCAUGGUCCCUCGCAGUUUCUGCCUGGACCACUCACGCCAGGAGAAGCCAGCUGCCAUGCUGUGAGCAGCCUUAAGGAGAAGCCUUCGUGGUGAGGAACUGAGGCCUCCAGCCAACAGCCAUGGCAGGGUCUAGAAGUGUAUCUCCUAGCCCAAAUCGAGCCUCCACUGAUACAUUGACCACAGUGGGUGAGAGACUCUCAACCAAAGUCUGGAUCAUUGGAAAUUCUGAGAUCAUCAUGCUUAUUGUCUUCAGCCCCUAAUUGAAGGGGUAAUUGGCUACGCAGAGAUAGAUAUUGAGUGGACUAGCCAAUUAGCACGGGCAUCGUGUUCAAUAUGUACUCGUGGAUGCCAACUCUGCCAAGGACCAUGCUAGACGCUGGGAAUAGCAAGACAAAUAAGGCAAGGUCCCUGCCUUUGAGGACUUCCAGUCCAGGAGAGGGACAUGGACGUGUGCACAGGGUGCCCUGAAGUGCCGUCCCCGCAGAUGUAGUGGGCUUACCAUAAAGCAGGUGGGGACUGGGCGGAGGGGAGCACCCAGGAUGCACACAGCGGCCUCAUCCACACACAAGCUCAGCCCAGGAAACAUCUUUUCCCAACUGUACCUUAGCUUAGCCUCCCUUUAGACGUUUCCAGCAAACCUUGUUCAGCAUUGAUGCGUAGAGCCUUGAGCCAUUUCAGAGUGGGUCAGCCACGACCGAAGAAGUGCCAUAAGUUCUCGGCCCUGGGGUACCAGCAUCCCAUGCUGAAUUGACGCAUUUUGAAUGGUUCUUCCCAGUCCAUCAGUUUUCUUCAUCCCUCUGUGAUCUGUCACUAACACUCUUUUAUCCAGGGGUCUCUGGAUUAGAAACAGAUGGUUUGAUGAUUUUUGAAAGAACCCCAAACCUCGAGAUUAUGUUAAUGCUUUGUAUGUUUGCUGGGUGUGUAAAUGCUGGUGUCGCUGUGGCUUGAGACUGAACACGGCAGGAGGAAGGGUCGUGUCUUGGGUCUGCCAGUGUCAUACCUCUAGCAAAUGACAAGAGCGUAGAGACAUCAGCCAACAAAGCCCUAAGAUAGAUAUUUUUUUGGCUGUGCCCUUGGCAUACAGAAGUUCCCAGGCCAAGGAUCGAACCCAAGCCGCAGAAGUAACCUGAGCCACAGCAAAGACAAUGCCGAGCCCUUAACCGCUAGACUGCCAGGGAACUCCACAAAGCCCUAAUAUACUGGUGGUCGGUACUAAAUCGCAAUGGGAAGAGCCCGGCUCCAUGGGGACGUUUCCCUAAUGGCCGAUUCAUCACGAGACCCCAUUUCCAGGACCUCACCCUCGAGGCUAAACCCAGCUCAUUUGGCACCUAGAUGGUGUGUCUGGCUGGCCCAGGGCCUGAGGAUGAGUAACAGAGGUGGAGGGAAGAAUUCACUUUCUUUUCCUUCUUUUUAUGGCCACACCUGUGGCUUACGGAAAUUCCCAGGCUGGGGGUCAAAUCGGAGUGGUAGCCACCUGUCUACACCACAACCACAGCCGUGUGGGAUCCAAACCGUGGCUGCGACCUAUAUCACAGCUCACGGCAACACCAGAUCCUUAACCCACUGAGCCAGGCCAGGGAGGGAACCCACAUCCUCCUCCUAGAUACUAGAUGGGUUCGUCACCCACUGAGCCACAACAGGAACUCCCCUGGUUUGGGGGGGGGGAUUUUUGUUUGUUUUUGAGAAUUCGCAUUGCAAUAAAGAAGCAGCAGUUCUGCUAGGCCUGGGUCCUCUACCCUCCAGGGCCUGGGGCUCAGGAACGAGAAGGAAGAGGACGAGGCACCAGAGAACCCCAAUAAUACUGUCAAGAUGCUCCCAGGUGUAGGGAUGACCCUGAGAAGGAAGAAAGCCAUCACAUUCUUUUUCCAUUUGCCACAGGCCACAGCAGGGAAAGCAAUAAAACGCUGAUGCCAUCCCCUUGCAGGUGUAACUGAUUUAAGUGGGGCAAGGGAAGCGGUCUAAGAGAGAAACCAAGGGUUAUUUGGGCUCUUCCCACCUCCUGUACACAAACAGGAGAACGAAGAAACAGUUGGUUGUGUGUAGGCCCUUUAUUUGGAUAAUUUUCCUCUCCUUAAAAAAAAAAUUUCAUCCUUUGUACGCUGUGGCAGUGUCUGUUUUCGUUGUGGUGGUUGUUGUUUUAAAUAGAAGAACUUGUGAAAUGAGACUGCAUGAAAGAUGGACUUGUUUUAUAUAUGGGAUAUUGCCUGUCCUUCAGAUCUAUGUGUCUCGCUUAUGGAAUGAACCAAAGUAGGAGAGAUAAACUAAUAUUUUGUAUAAGCUCAGCCAGACAAUACGGAUGAUAAAGAUGUUUCAUCUUCUUAUGCAUGCAGAAAAUAUGAAAAAUCGUAGUUUACACAUAUUUGCUCAAUUCAAGUGUAAAAUUGGGCCCCUCGAUUGCCCUGGGCCACAGUGGCUGUGUUAAGGAAGCUCGAUUUACCUUGCAGCCGAGUGAAAAAUGAUCAGAAUAUUAGACUCAUCUAGCCCACAUUAAGGAGCCAUUGCAUUUCCCGACAAUUUUAUGCUAUCUCAAUAUGAAAACAGAGCAAUUUCAACUCAUAUCAGGUUAUGAUCGGCAAUUACAGUUGCAUAAUUCACCUAGUCGCCUCUUUGCAGGGCCUUUAUUUUCCCUCUUGGUGACAUUCCUGAGAAAGUGCCUGAUAAAAAUGUCAUAUAUCAUCCCAGCUUUAGAACUCGUGAGGGGGUAAUCUGCUAUGCCUUGCCGAGCCCAUAUUCAUCACUGGAUUUUUGACUUGGAGGGGUCAUGGCACUCAUAAUUUCCUGUUUGAUAUUGUCCUCACCAGCUCUGACAAGGGCUGUAAAAGCUGGGUUGUAGGCAGUGGUUAAGCCCUGUUCCAGUGGGGCUCAUCACCAGCAAUAACAGAGCAUUACUGGGGCUCGUGCUGUAGUUGGCCGUUCGGAAGAUAAUUAGAUUUGAUGUCAACAUUUCUUUAUCACCUGCAUCCUUUUGUGCAUCUGUGUGUCAAGUUGUUAUUUCCGGAUUUAUUAGCACCCUCAGAGCUCCUCUCUAUCUGUCAGCCCGUGUGCUGUUUGUGUUGACAGUUGUAAAGUUAAUUACUACUACUAAUGAGCAUCGGGCUUUUGGUGGACAUGGCGUUUUGGACAUUUAAAACUAUAAUUAGUUGGUUUUUUUUUUUUUUUCCUUCCUCGUGUAGUGCUUCAGUACAGAAAAGAAGUGUUGAAAAAAAAAAAAAAACCUUCCGUUCCAUUUUGACAUUCUGCGUGCAGUCAACUUAUCUUUUAUUCAAAGGCUCC
rnacentral:lncRNA from 1 species